AGAGCCUCAAGCACUUCAGUUCAACAAUGGAAUAUAUAUAUAUGUGUGUGUGUGUAUACAUAUAUAUAUAUACAUACAUAUAUAUACACACACAUAUAU
ensembl:miRNA Gm22646 predicted gene, 22646